GACGAACGCUGGCGGCGUGCUUAACACAUGCAAGUCGAGCGGAGCGGCGAACGGGUGAGUAACGCGUGAGUAACUGCCCCCCUCUCUGGGAUAACAGUUGGAAACGGCUCCUAAUACCGGAUAGUGGGGGAUGACUCGCGUCCUAUCAGCUUGUUGCUGGGGUAGUGGCCUACCAAGGCGACGACGGGUAGCCGGCCUGAGAGGGCGACCGGCCACAAUGGGCUGAGGAGAGGCACAAACUGCUACGAGGGGCAGCAGUGGGGAAUAGUGCACAAUGGGGGAAACCCUGAUGGAGAAACGCCGCGUGCGGGAUGACGGCCUUCGGGUUGUAAACCGCUUUCAACGAUGACGCGGUAGUGGCAGAAGAAGCACCGGCUAACUACGUGCCAGCAGCCGCGGUAAUUC
rnacentral:rRNA from 1 species